UUGAUCAGUAAUGAUGAUUUGGUGGUAUAUGGGUCGUACAGAGUGAAUACUACAUGUCUGGAACUCUGAGGUUCAA